UGUUCCUACGGGGCGCAGCAGUGAGGAAUAUUGGUCAAUGGGCGGAAGCCUGAACCAGCCAAGUCGCGUGAGGGAUUAAGGCCCUAUGGGUCGUAAACCUCUUUUGUCAGGGAGCAAGGUCGUCCACGUGUGGGCGUAUGGAGAGGACCUGAAGAAAAAGCAUCGGCUAACUCCGUGCCAGCAGCCGCGGUAAUACGGAGGAUGCGAGCGUUAUCCGGAUUUAUUGGGUUUAAAGGGUGCGUAGGCGGGACCUUAAGUCAGCGGUAAAAUUGCCGUGCUCAACGCCGUAGA
rnacentral:rRNA from 1 species